UACGUAGGUGGCAAGCGUUGUCCGGAGUUAUUGGGCGUAAAGCGCGCGCAGGCGGUUCGGCAAGUCCAUGGUGAAAGCGCCCGGCUCAACUGGGCGAGUGCCGUGGGGACUGCCGAGCUGGAGGGGAGCAGAGGCGAGUGGAAUUCCGGGUGUAGUGGUGAAAUGCGUAGAGAUCCGGAGGAACACCAGUGGCGAAGGCGGCUCGCUGGGACGGUACUGACGCUAAGGCGCGAAAGCGUGGGGAGCGAACAGG
rnacentral:rRNA from 1 species